AGAGUUUGAUCCUGGCUCAGGACGAACGCUGGCGGCGUGCUUAACACAUGCAAGUCGAACGAUGAAAGAGAAUCCGAUCUCUUCGGAGAGAAGAAUCUCUGGAUUAGUGGCGGACGGGUGAGUAACGCGUGAGCAAUCUGCCUUACACAAAGGGAUAGCCUCGGGAAACCGGGAUUAAUACCAUAUGAUAUCUAUUAACCGCAUGGCCUAUAGAUUAAAGAAUUUCGGUGUAAGAUGAGCUCGCGUCCCAUUAAUUAGUUGGUGAGGGUAACGGCCCACCAAGAUAGCGAUGGGUAGCCGAUCUAAGAGGAUGACCGGCCACAUUGGAACUGAGAAACGGUCCAAACUCCUACGGGAGGCAGCAGUGGGGAAUAUUGCACAAUGGGGGAAACCCUGAUGCAGCGACGCCGCGUGAGCGAUGAAGGCUUUCGAGUCGUAAAGCUCUGUCCUAUGGGAAGAUAAUGACGGUACCAUAGAAGAAAGCCCCGGCUAAUUACGUGCCAGCAGCCGCGGUAAUACGUAAGGGGCGAGCGUUGUCCGGAAUUAUUGGGCGUAAAGAGUGCGUAGGCGGCAAAUUAAGUCAGAUGUGAAAACUAAGGGCUCAACCCAUAGAUUGCAUCUGAAACUGAUAUGCUUGAGUCAAGGAGAGGAAAGUGGAAUUCCUAGUGUAGCGGUGGAAUGCGUAGAUAUUAGGAGGAAUACCGGUGGCGAAGGCGACUUUCUGGACUUGAACUGACGCUGAGGCACGAAAGCGUGGGGAGCAAACAGGAUUAGAUACCCUGGUAGUCCACGCCGUAAACGAUG
rnacentral:rRNA from 1 species